CACAAACAUAUACAAACUCAUUAGAGAAAAUAAUUAUUGCCUGAGUGUAUCAAGAAUAUAAUACGACUGCAGUUGAAAAGUAUAUUAUAAAUACAAAUUUAACAGUUCAUACAUGUGCCUAAUUUAUUUUAAAGUAUUUAUGCAUA